AGAGUUUGAUCCUGGCUCAGGACGAACGCUGGCGGCGUGCUUAACACAUGCAAGUCGAACGAUGAUGCCCAGCUUGCUGGGUGGAUUAGUGGCGAACGGGUGAGUAACACGUGAGUAACCUGCCCCUGACUCUGGGAUAAGCGUUGGAAACGACGUCUAAUACUGGAUAUGAUCACUGGCCGCAUGGUCUGGUGGUGGAAAGAUUUUUUGGUUGGGGAUGGACCCGCGGCGCAUUAGCUAGUUGGUGAGGUAAUGGCUCACCAAGGCGACGAUGCGUAGCCGACCUGAGAGGGUGAUCGGCCACACUGGGACUGAGACACGGCCCAGACUCCUACGGGAGGCAGCAGUAGGGAAUCUUCCGCAAUGGACGAAAGUCUGACGGAGCAACGCCGCGUGAGUGAUGAAGGUUUUCGGAUCGUAAAGCUCUGUUGUUAGGGAAGAACAAGUACGAGAGUAACUGCUCGUACCUUGACGGUACCUAACCAGAAAGCCACGGCUAACUACGUGCCAGCAGCCGCGGUAAUAGAGUUUGAUCCUGGCUCAGCCAGCAGCCGCGGUAAU
rnacentral:rRNA from 1 species